CAGUAGCCGCGGUAAUACGAAGGGGGCUAGCGUUGUUCGGAAUUACUGGGCGUAAAGCGCACGUAGGCGGAUUUUUAAGUCAGGGGUGAAAUCCCGAGGCUCAACCUCGGAACUGCCUUUGAUACUGGAGAUCUUGAGUUCGGAAGAGGUUGGUGGAACAGCUAGUGUAGAGGUGAAAUUCGUAGAUAUUAGCUAGAACACCAGUGGCGAAGGCGGCCAACUGGUCCGAUACUGACGCUGAGGUGCGAAAGCGUGGGGAGCAAACAGGAUUAGAGACCCGCGUAGUCCCUGUCUCUUAUAU
rnacentral:rRNA from 1 species